GUGAGUGUAGCUCAGUUGGUAGAGCCCCGGAUUGUGAUUCCGGUCGUCGCGGGUUCGAGUCCCGUCAUCCACCCCA
rnacentral:tRNA from 1 species